AACGAACGCUGGCGGCAUGCCUAACACAUGCAAGUCGAACGAGACCUUCGGGUCUAGUGGCGCACGGGUGCGUAACGCGUGGGAACCUGCCCUUAGGUUCGGAAUAACUCUCCGAAAGGGGUGCUAAUACCGGAUAAUGUCUUCGGACCAAAGAUUUAUCGCCCUUGGAUGGGCCCGCGUUGGAUUAGCUAGUUGGUAGGGUAAAAGCCUACCAAGGCGACGAUCCAUAGCUGGUCUGAGAGGAUGAUCAGCCACACUGGAACUGAGACACGGCCCAGACGCCGACGGGAGGCAGCAGUGGGGAAUAUGGGACAAUGGGCGCAAGCCUGAUCCAGCCAUACCGCGUGGGUGAAGAAGGCCUUCGGGUUGUAAAGCCCUUUUGUUGGGAAAGAAAAGCAGCAGGUUAAUACCCGGCUGUUCUGACGGUACCCAAAGAAUAAGCACCGGAUAACUUCGUG
rnacentral:rRNA from 1 species